GUGGCGAACGGGUGAGUAACACAUCGGAACGUACCCAGUAGUGGGGGAUAGCCCGGGGAAACUCGGAUUAAUACCGCAUACGCCCUACGGGGGAAAGGCCGGGAUCUUCGGACCGGUCGCUAUUGGAUGAGCCUGCGUUGGAUUAGCUAGUUGGUGAGGUAAAGGCUCACCAAGGCGACGAUCCUUAGCUGGUCUGAGAGGACGAUCAGCCACACUGGAACUGAGACACGGUCCAGACUCC
rnacentral:rRNA from 1 species